rnacentral:rRNA from 1 species
UACGUAGGGGGCAAGCGUUGUUCGGAAUUACUGGGCGUAAAGGGCGCGUAGGCGGCACGACAAGUCGGGAGUGAAAGCCCGGGGCUCAACCCCGGAAUGUCUCUCGAAACUGUCGAGCUAGAGUGCAGCAGAGGCAACUGGAAUUCCCAGUGUAGCGGUGAAAUGCGUAGAUAUUGGGAAGAACACCUGAGGCGAAGGCGGGUUGCUGGGCUGACACUGACGCUGAGGCGCGAAAGCCAGGGGAGCGAACGGG